ACUCCUACGGGAGGCAGCAGUGGGGAAUAUUGCACAAUGGGCGCAAGCCUGAUGCAGCCAUGCCGCGUGUAUGAAGAAGGCCUUCGGGUUGUAAAGUACUUUCAGCAGUGAGGAAGGUGGAUAUGUUAAUAGCAUAUUCAUUUGACGUUAGCUGCAGAAGAAGCACCGGCUAACUCCGUGCCAGCAGCCGCGGUAAUACGGAGGGUGCGAGCGUUAAUCGGAAUUACUGGGCGUAAAGCGCAUGCAGGUGGUUUGUUAAGUCAGAUGUGAAAGCCCGGGGCUCAACCUCGGAAUUGCAUUUGAAACUGGCAAACUAGAGUACUGUAGAGGGGGUAGAAUUUCAGGUGUAGCGGUGAAAUGCGUAGAGAUCUGAAGGAAUACCGGUGGCGAAGGCGGCCCCCUGGACAGAUACUGACACUCAGAUGCG
rnacentral:rRNA from 1 species